GUUGUGGUUAAAAAGCUCGUAGUUGGAUCUCAACAGCCUUGAAGCGGUUAACUUUGUAGUUUUACUGCUUUAUAGGCUGUGCUUUUGCUGGAGGUUUAGGGGUGCUCUUGAUCGAGUGUCUCUGGAUGCCAGCAGGUUUACUUUGAAAAAAUUAGAGUGCUCAAAGCAGGCUAAAAUGCCUGAAUAUUCGUGCAUGGAAUAAUAGAAUAGGAUGUCGAUCCUAUUUUGUUGGUUUUCGGGACUCGACAUAAUGAUAAAUAGGGACAGUCGGGGGCAUUUGUAUUCAAACGACAGAGGUGAAAUUCUUGGACCGUUUGAAGACAAACUACUGCGAAAGCAUUUGCCAAGAAUGUUUUCAUUAAUCAAGAACGAAAGUUAGAGGUUCGAAGGCGAUUAGAUACCGCCCUAGUUCUAACCAUAAACGAUGCCAGCUAGCGAUCUGCCUGCGUUUUUACUGUAGACUGGGCAGGAAGCUUCCGGGAAACCAAAGCAUUUGGGUUCCAGGGGAAGUAUGGUUGCAAAGCUGAAACUUAAAGGAAUUGACGGAAGGGCACCACCAGGAGUGGAGCCUGUGGCUUAAUUUGACUCA
rnacentral:rRNA from 1 species